rnacentral:rRNA from 1 species
CCCUUAGAUGUUCUGGCCGCACGCGUGCUACACUGAGUGGAUCAGCGGGUCAGGUUGCGCGAAAGUGUUUCCUAAUCUUGAAAUCCGCUCGUGAUGGGGAUUGACGGUUGCAAUUUUCCGUCAUGAACGAGGAAUACCUUGUAAGCGCGGGUCAUCAUCCCGCGCUGAAUACGUCCCUGCCCUUUGUACACACCGCCCGUCGCUCCUACCGAUUGAGUGGUCCGGUGAGGCUUUGGGAUCUGAGCGGAAAGAGCGUUUCGCUGUUUCUGCUCGGAAAACUCAGUCGAACCUUAUCAUUUAGAGGAAGGAGAAGUCGUAACA